GACACACACCCCGGGGUGGAGGGAUUUCUGUUCUUAAAAAUCUGUCUUGUUGAGGAACAACAACCCGAGUAAUAUUCUUCUCCCCCUCUGGAGGCAAAACACAAAAAACACCGGGGUAUUAUUCUGCGCCCCCGCCCCCGGUAAUAAAUGGGGGCCCCGACGUGUUUUCCAAAAUUCUUGGGAAGUCGGAACAAGGUAACCCUUAAAUUUUGUUAUCCUGCUCAGGACGAACGCUGGCGGCGUGCCUAAUACAUGCAAGUCGAGCGGACAGAAGGGAGCUUGCUCCCGGAUGUUAGCGGCGGACGGGUGAGUAACACGUGGGUAACCUGCCUGUAAGACUGGGAUAACUCCGGGAAACCGGAGCUAAUACCGGAUAGUUCCUUGAACCGCAUGGUUCAAGGAUGAAAGACGGUUUCGGCUGUCACUUACAGAUGGACCCGCGGCGCAUUAGCUAGUUGGUGAGGUAACGGCUCACCAAGGCGACGAUGCGUAGCCGACCUGAGAGGGUGAUCGGCCACACUGGGACUGAGACACGGCCCAGACUCCUACGGGAGGCAGCAGUAGGGAAUCUUCCGCAAUGGACGAAAGUCUGACGGAGCAACGCCGCGUGAGUGAUGAAGGUUUUCGGAUCGUAAAGCUCUGUUGUUAGGGAAGAACAAGUGCAAGAGUAACUGCUUGCACCUUGACGGUACCUAACCAGAAAGCCACGGCUAACUACGUGCCAGCAGCCGCGGUAAUACGUAGGUGGCAAGCGUUGUCCGGAAUUAUUGGGCGUAAAGGGCUCGCAGGCGGUUUCUUAAGUCUGAUGUGAAAGCCCCCGGCUCAACCGGGGAGGGUCAUUGGAAACUGGGAAACUUGAGUGCAGAAGAGGAGAGUGGAAUUCCACGUGUAGCGGUGAAAUGCGUAGAGAUGUGGAGGAACACCAGUGGCGAAGGCGACUCUCUGGUCUGUAACUGACGCUGAGGAGCGAAAGCGUGGGGAGCGAACAGGAUUAGAUACCCUGGUAGUCCACGCCGUAAACGAUGAGUGCUAAGUGUUAGGGGGUUUCCGCCCCUUAGUGCUGCAGCUAACGCAUUAAGCACUCCGCCUGGGAUACGCCCC
rnacentral:rRNA from 1 species